rnacentral:rRNA from 1 species
UCGGGAAUUUUGGGCAAUGGGGGAAACCCUGACCCAGCAACGCCGCGUGAAGGAUGAAGUAUUUCGGUAUGUAAACUUCGAAAGAAUAGGAAGAAUAAAUGACGGUACUAUUUAUAAGGUCCGGCUAACUACGUGCCAGCAGCCGCGGUAAUACGUAGGGACCAAGCGUUGUUCGGAUUUACUGGGCGUAAAGGGCGCGUAGGCGGCAUGACAAGUCACUUGUGAAAUCUCUGGGCUUAACCCAGAACGGCCAAGUGAUACUGUCGCGCUAGAGUGCAGAAGGGGCAAUCGGAAUUCUUGGUGUAGCGGUGAAAUGCGUAGAUAUCAAGAGGAACACCUGAGGUGAAGACGGGUUGCUGGGCUGACACUGACGCUGAGGCGCGAAAGUCAGGGGAGCAAACGGGAUUAGAUACCCCCGUAGUCCCUGAGCGGGCUGGCAAGGCGCAU